CAGGAAUCUGAAUCAGCUAAGAAUUUGAACGCUCGCAACUUGGAGGACCCCAUAUCCCUCUUAAAACUGGAAGAAGGGGUGGGAGAAGGAGCAGAGCCUCAAAAUGAGACACAACCCAUAUGCUGCAAAUGUCUUUCGCACCUGGCUGUUGUUCCCUCGCGAACGACACGUUCACCUGAAGCCGGGCAUAUCUGCUUCAGGGUGAUGAGGAACAUGCAUUCAGAGAUGAAGACGUUCAAGGGAGAAAUGUUCUGACAAAUUUCUGGUCAUGGCAAAGGUCAAGCGUUUCCAAAGUCUGACAAAAAUCAGCGUUGAACCACAAUGUGGAGCAUAUCCUCCAGCACAUAUAGAGCCUACACCAUCAGUUGAAGUUUCUUCGCAAUAGUGUCAACCUUUGGAGCCGUGCUUGACAUGAUAACAGACAGGUCAUUCUCUCUUUACUCUAUGUAUGCAUGGAAGCCAAAGGAAUGUGCUGAUUAUUGCUGUUUUAACUUCUUUAUAUUGUUUCACAAGUGUACAAGUAUGAUAUUUCUCCUUUCCAGCGGUUCAUCAGUUGUUAUAAUUUUUAACUUCUUGGAUUGAGAGUUGUGUAUGAGUUAUUUUGGAUUGAAAGUUGUCCAUGGGUUUGUUUCUUUAUUUGAACUGUUUUGUUGUUUUGGAUAUUUCAACUUUAAGUUUCUCUC